CUAUGACUUUUAAAAUCAUGGCAGAAGGAG
rnacentral:ncRNA from 1 species